rnacentral:lncRNA from 10 species
AGAGAAUAAAAGCAGGCUGCCCGAGCCAGCAGUGGCAACCUGAUGGGGUCCCUUUUCAAGCUGUGGAACCUUUGUUCUUUCUCUGUUUGCAAUAAAUCUUGCCACUGCUCACUCUUUGGGUCCACACUGCUUUUAUGAGCUGUAACACUCACCGCGAAGGUCCGCAGCUUCACUCCUGAAGCCAGCGAGACCACGAGCCUACUGGGAGGAACGAACAACUCCCGACGCGCCGCCUUAAGAGCUGUAACACUCACCGCGAAGGUCUGCAGCUUCACUCCUGAGCCAGCGAGACCACGAACCCACCAGAAGGAAAAAACUCCGAACACAUCUGAACAUCAGAAGCAACAAACUCCGGACACGCCGCCUUUAAGAACUGUAACACUCACUGCGAGGGUCCGCGGCUUCAUUCUUGAAGUGAGUGAGACCAAGAACCCACCAGUUCUGGACACAAUUUCAAGUCCUCAGGUGCCAUCAAUAUUCUGAAAAUGGCAGUGAUUUUUAUUCAACCUGUAUAAGGCACUUUCACCAUGUACCUGGAAGCAACAUCUACAUCUUUUUCAGUUUUCCUCUGUCCACUAUGAAGGACUUUGUGACCACAUUCUGACUCUGAUGAGAUCCUGCCCAGAAUUGACCUGAACCCCAAUAAUUCACCUUUCUCUCAGCAAUCUAGAUGCUGGGGACACAAGGUCCACCUUCCAGGAAUAUGGCCAUGACACCAGAAAUCACAAACAUGAUGAGAAUGGAAUGACUGGGGAAGAAGUGCCAGAUGCUUCACUUGUAAAUGAAGACCCAGCCUCUGGGGAUGCAGAUACCACCUCCCUGAAGAAGCUGAAUAUCUGCAGAUAAGUGGAGUUCACCAAUGAUGAGGAGCGGGAUGGAGAAAGGAGGUAGGGAGAGUCAUCCAAGGAACAUGAGCAACAUGUUAAAAGAAUUGAACCAGAGUCCGGUGAAUAUCAGCACUGGGACCAGUUAGCAGAGGAAAAGGAAAGAAUAAAAGCGAAAAGAAUGAAGAGUCAUAUGAUUACCAACUUUUCCUUUUUCAUAUAAAUUGAGUGUAUAUGGGUCUGGAACAACCUGAAUUUCCAUCAAGUCCUGGCUAACCUCAUUAUGUCCUAUGAAUAUUUUUGACUAAUCCCACUUUACAUUAAUCUGUAUUGUGAAUGUGGAUAUUGAAUUAUAUUUCUUUGUAAUCCCAUUAUCCAAAAUCCAGUUCAGAGACUAUUAGUUACCAAUGUUCACUGUGAAGGAAAAAAAAAAAAAAAAAGCUCAGAGGAUAAACAUGUGAUAUGGUUUGGCUGUGUCCCCACCCAAAUAUCAUCUUGAAUUGUAGCUCCCAUAAUUCCCACGUGUUGUGGGAGGGACCCGGUGGGAGAUAAUUGUAUCAUGGGGGUGGUUCCCCCAUACUAUUCUCAUAGUAGUGAAUAAGUCUCACAAAAUCUGAUGGUUUUAUGAGGGAAAACCCCUUUCACCUGGUUCUCAUUCUCUUCUCUGGUCUGUCGUCAUGUAAGACAUGCCUUUCACCUUCUCCACCAUGACUGUGAGGCCUCCCCAGCCACGUGGAACUGUGAGCCCAUUAAACCUCUUUCACUUAUAAAUUACCCAGUCUCUGGUAUAUCUUUAUCAGCAGCAUGAAAACAGACUAGUACAACAUGUUUGGAAAUGAUGUUCAGAAUUAAAUUUUCUUCUUGAAGAAUAAUAAUGUACAGGAGUGUGUUGAAGAUUUUGAGAAUUCUCACAGCAAAGGAACUUGUUAAUUUUUUUAAUCCACCUACCUAAUAGAAUUAAUAUUUUAAGAGAAACAGCUUGUGAAACAAUUAUAUAUAUGGUCCCAUAAAAACUUUUAGAAAACAAUUAUUAUACACACAUAUAAACACAUAUUACUUACUAGUAAAGAUGUACCUAUCUUCCUAGGAAGCUCUUUCAUGGUAUUUCAUUAGUAUCCCUUCCAGCACCUACCAUCCAUCCAGGCAAAUUUUAGAUGUUUUACAAAGGUUUAUGAAAUUGCAUUAAACACCUGUUAAAAAUCACUUUGUUCAUUGCAAGACAUUUAUAUACUGUAGUUUUAAAGAAAGAUAACAGCUGAGGGGAGCUACAGGAAAAAGAAAAGCAUAGAACUUAUGUUGAAUUAUUUUUCUUGUGCAUAUGAAGUUGCUCUGUGAGAACAAGAGCACUCAGCAGACGUAUAGAUCCACUAUCUUUUCACAUGGCAAUAUGUUCAUCCUUUCAGACAAUUUGAGCAAGUUUGGAACAUAAAAUAAUACAAAGAGGCUAAAAUGCAAAGCAAAAAAAAAAAAAUGAAAAUGAUUGGCACAAAAUAAUGGAGCAAUUGUAAGAGAUGUUACAUGUGUAAACUUAAACCAGGACAUAAACCGUUGAAGUUCACCGUUUAAGGAAGCAUCCAAAUAUAUAAUAGUCCUGCUAAAUGCUUGGAGUAGCAAAUUUCUAUCACAUGCAUCCACAUGCACAUCUUACAUUAAAAUCCCGUGACAAUAGUGUUAACAUCUUGUCAUUUUAGCCUUGAAUGUCAAAGGCUCAUGGGAUCUACUCCAUGACUCACAUAACCUGUAUAUCUAGAAACAGGUGUUUUAAACUCUACAUCUGGUGAUAAAUAUUAAAGAUAGAAGAUGAGAGUUCUAAAACAGUCUACUUAUUUCAUUUCCACUUGGCUUUGCCACCAUUACCUAAACUAUUACAGAUUGAGCUCCACAGACUACUCAGAAUUCUCCUCCUGUCUUGAAAUUCCAAAUGCAAUUUUCCCAGGAUUUUUAGAAAUUUAUGAAAUUAUUAGCCAAAAAUAUUAUAUUUCAAGAUUAAGCCCUCAUCCUACAGUUUAGAAAACCAAGAGCCAGCUGAAAAUACUUGCUCAAAUUCAGAGAAUGAAUGUUGUCUAAAUUAGUUCAAAAACAAGUGACUCAUUGAAGAUAAAGUAGUGUGGUGAUUAAAAGCAUGUACUUUGAAAAAAAAAAAAGUGACUCUUGGCUUGUAAUACAAUUUUUUCACUGCAUUAUUCUAAGGAAAUUUGUUAGUAGAGCUGAAAUAAUACAGCAUUAGGGUUAAAAAGUACAAGUUUCAAAGUUACAAAGACCAAGGUAGCGAAAGGCAAAUUACUCAACCUCUCUAAACAUGGUUUAUUCAUUAGUAAAAGAAGAACAAGAAUAUUAUUUAUGACAUAGUAUUAAGAGUUUUAAACAAUGUAGAAUACUGAAAGUGCCAAAAAACUAUUGUCAUUAUUACAUAUGUAAGUAAAAUUUAUUUUCUGCAUAUCAUUGUAUUAGUCUGUUUUCAUACUGCUACAAGGAACUACCCAAGCAGGUAAUUUGUAAAGAAAAGAGGUUUAAUUGACACACAGUUCAGCAUGGCUCGGGGGGCGGGGGGGCCCUCAGGAAACUUACAAUCAUGAUGGAAGGCAAAGGGGGAGCAAGGCACCUUCUUCACGAGGCGGCAGGAAGGAGAAAUGCUGAGUGAAAGGGGAAGAGCCCCUUAUAAAACCAUCAGAUCUAGUGAGAACUCACUAUCAUGAGAACCGCAUGGAAGAAACUGCUUCUGUGAUUCAGUUAUCUCCACUUGGUCUCUCCCUUGACACACGACGAAUUACAAUUCAAGAUGACUUUUGGGUGGAGACACAAAGCCUAACCAUAUCAAUCACCAUACCUUUCAAAAACUACAAAUAGUUUUCAUUACAUUUGGAGGUCAGUCUCAUGUAAAUUAUAAUGAGGUAUCAUAUUCAAAAUCCACUUUGAUCUCUGCUUCUAAGAGGACGGAGUGGACAUAAUUUCCGUAUUCCUCCCAAUGGGCACAACUAAAAACUCUGGAAAUGAUAUAUAAAACAAAUGUAAGAAGACUCUAAAGCAUGGAAAGAAAAAGGCAGGCGAGCUUGGGAAAUUGGAAUUCAAUGAACUACACAGUGCUGAGUUCCCUGAGUUUUCAUCUUGCCUCACAUAUCAUCUCAGACUGGGCACUAAAGACAUCAACAACCCGAAAAUACUAAAACGCUAAUGGACACAAACACCAAAACACACACAUACACACACAAAUAAAAACCCAAGAGAAGCCUGCUUUCUCUUGCCAAUGGACCAGAAAAGAAGCAGCAUAGGAAGACAGAAAACAUUUAGACAAUAACCACUUUACUCUAGCCAAACACUAUGUAAAAUACUGCAUGCCUACCCCUAGAAGCAAAGGCAGAGGGGAGAGUCCAGUCUUUGGACUCUUGCCAGGCUGCCAGGAGGUGCUGCAAGCCCUACCUACCUCCAGAGUGGUGUCAGAGAAGGCAGAGUGGAAAGCUGAGACCAUCAUCCCUAUCAGGUGGUAAAGAGGAUCCCCUUCAGGGUGUCAGGGGAGUCCAUGGGAAGAGGGAUAGGGACUUGGAUUUCCACCCUACCCAGAGGCACCAAGGCACCCACACUCCUCUCACUGAGGUGCUGUCAGAGGAGGUCUAAUGGAGAGUCGGUACUUUAAUGUGGCUCAGUGGUAACAAGCUCGACCCCAAAAGUGCUAGUAGAGGCCAUGUGGGAAGCUGUAAGAAGACAUCCCUCCCCUCCCAGCCAGGGUGGUAUCAACAGAUACCUAAUGGGGAACUGAGUUUUGACCAAAGUGCAAAAGCAAUUCAAUGGAGGAACAAACUUUUCAAUAAAUGGUGCUGAAGCAAUUGGAUACCUAUAGGCAAAAAAAUAAAAAUAAAAAAAAAUUAGACCUCAAACGUUUAACAAAAAUUAACUCAAAAUAAAUAGUAUAUUUAAUAUAAAAUGUAAACUACAAAACUUACAAAAUAACAUUGGAGAAAAUUUUCAGGACCUAGGACUUGGUGAAGAAAAUGUAGAUGUGACACCAAAAGCACAAUCCAUACGAGUAAAAAAUCAAUAAAUUGGAUCUACUUUUGCUCUGUGAAAGAUCCUGUUUAAGAGAAUGAAAAGACAAGCUAUAGAGUGGGAGAAAAUAUUUGCAAAUAUCAGUGAGAUUUCUUAAAAUUGAACAGUUAAAAACAAAUAACCCAAUUAGAAAAUGGGCCUUCCCCACCCCCAAAAAACCCAUGAAGAGACAUUUCAGACAUGUAAGCAAAUGAAAAAAUGUUCAAAGUCACUAGCUAUUAGGGAAAUGCAAAUAAAGACCAUGAGGAGACAUCACUACAUACCUUUCAACAUGCUGACAUAAAAAAAACGGUGACAACACCAGAUGCUAGCAAGGAUACAGAGAAACUUGAUGUCUCAUACAUUGCCAGUGGGAAUACAAAAUGGUUAAGCCACUGUGGAAAACAGUUUGGCUGUUUCUUAAAGUAAUUAAACAUAUGCUUACCAUACAACCCAGAAAUUGUACUCCAGGGCAUUUAUCCCAGAGAAAUGAAACAUUAUUGUAGCAGUUUUUUGUUGUUGUUGUUAUAGCCAAAACCUGGAAUACAGCAAUAAAAAGGAAUAAACUAUUAAUACACACCAUGAUUUGGAUGGAUUUCAAAGUCAUUACAAUAAGUGAAAAAAAAUCUCAGAGGACACAUUUAUAUGUGAGCUCAUUUAUACAACAUUCUUGAAAUGAUAAAAUUACAGAGACAGGAAAAAAAAAUUAUGUUUCCCAUGAGUUAGGGAUGGUAUAGGCGAGGAAAUUGAGUGCAGCUAUAAAGGGGUAAUUUGAGGGAGAUCUUUGUGGUAAAGGAAUAGUUCUGUAUCUUGAUUGUACUGAUGAUAUAGACUGAUGAAUCUACACAUAUGAUAAAAUGACAUGGAAUCAUAUAUACUCAUUGUCUAAUUUCUGUCUUUGAUGCUGUAUUAUAGUUAUAUAAGAUGUAUCCAUUGAUGGAAACUGAGAGAAGAGUACGUGGGUUGUCUCUGUGCUACUUUUGCAACUUCCUGUGAAUCUACAAUUAUUUUAAAAUAAAAUUUUUCUUUUUUUAUUAUACUUUAAGUUCUAGGGUACAUGUGCACAAUGUGCAGGUUUGUUACAUAUGUAUACAUGUGCCAUGUUGCUGUGCUGCACCCAUUAAGUCGUCAUUUACAUUAAGUAUAUCUCCUAAUGCUAUCCCUCUCCCCUCCCCCC